rnacentral:rRNA from 1 species
UACGGAGGGGGCUAGCGUUUGUUCGGAAUUACUGGGCGUAAAGCGCACGUAGGCGGCUUUGUAAGUUAGAGGUGAAAGCCCAGGGCUCAACCCUGGAAUUGCCUUUAAGACUGCAUCGCUUGAACAUCGGAGAGGUAAGUGGAAUUCCGAGUGUAGAGGUGAAAUUCGUAGAUAUUCGGAAGAACACCAGUGGCGAAGGCGACUUACUGGACGAUUGUUGACGCUGAGGUGCGAAAGCGUGGGGAGCAAACAGG